rnacentral:rRNA from 1 species
UACGUAGGGUGCGAGCGUUAAUCGGAAUUACUGGGCGUAAAGCGUGCGCAGGCGGCGCGUUAAGACAGGUGUGAAAGCCCCCGAGCUUAACUUGGGAAUUGCGCUUGUGACUGGCGUGCUGGAGUGUGGCAGAGGGAGGUGGAAUUCCACGUGUAGCAGUGAAAUGCGUAGAUAUGCGGAGGAACACCGAUGGCGAAGGCAAUCCCCUGGGCCUGCACUGACGCUCAUGCACGAAAGCGUGGGGAGCAAACAGG